AAGCCGGGAAAAUCCACAUAUAGCAGAAUGGGUGGGGUUAAUGCUUACAAAAGGAGACAUCACAAGCAUUAUGGAUCCAAGUCUAAAUGGAGACUAUGAUUCUGGUUCUGUGUGGAAAGCUGUUGAACUAGCAAUGUCUUGUAUAAAUCCUUCUUCAACGAGAAGACCUACCAUGUCUCAAGUUGUUAUUGAAUUAAACGAUUGCCUAGCAUCUGAAAAUUCAAGGGCAGGAGCGAGUAGGGACAUGGACUCAAAGAGUUCCAUAGAAGUGAGCUUGACAUUUGGUACCGACGUGAACCCAACGGCUCGGUAGAUUACAUGAAAACUUAUCAUGCGGUACCACGUAAAUUUUUAUUUAUAUGUUUCUGUUUUUUACGUGAAGAAUUAUCAUGGAUACCAUAUUCCCAAUCACUUGGAGCAAUCAUCUACGGAUAGGCAACUUGAUUUAGAGACCCAAAAAAACUUUUUCAUUUAAUCCUUAUAAAUGAUUGAUGAAUAUAUAUGUCUAAAUUAUUGUCAGCUGUUAUGUAAUUAAUGAGCUUUCCAAGUUGCAAAGCAGACCAUAAUUUUGGACUUUUUUCUCACCUCUGUCAUAUCAGUCGACACUUGCAAUAGGUCCACUGCAUUUGUAUAACUUAUUCACCUUUUAGUUAUCUCGUUAGUUGGACUUGGGCCAUAAUUAAGAAAUUAGACAGGAGUGACCGAAGUAUAUAAGUGCGUUUAUAGAUGGACAAGUACAUCUCAUCAAUAAAAAGGUACGGCUAGAAAUAAGAAAAAGGGAUGAUAAAAUAAUGUGGGGGGAGGGGGGGGAGUGGGGUGGGGAAAAGGGGUAAUAAGUCAUUUCCUCACUACUUGUUGUGAAUAGACACCGGUUUCUUUAUUGAAUAUGUGAAUAAUCAAUUACAAUCUCUAAUUACAAUCUUUAAGCUUAUAUUUAUAUCUUCAAAAACCCAACUCUCAAACCGAAUUGAUAAAUGAAAUCUUUUAUCGAGCCCAUUAAAAAAACCAUAUUGUAAGAGUCCGUUACAUUUUUCAGUUCGCUCUAAAAGAGUUUCUUUAGUUAUUUUUGUCACCAGAAACAACAUCAUUCAAUACACUUUUUUGUUUCCAUGAUCAGCGCAAAGUAUCAAUCGAGUAAUUUAACUAAUUUUAAAGCAAAAGACAAUGAUUAUUGGUAAUUACCCACACAUGAACCUUAGUACCAAUAUGCAUGCGUAUAUCAACCAAAUCAAAUCAUCAAUAUGGUCCACAAGACGUAAAAGAGUUGGACCCCAUGAUAUUGUCAAGGUUAAUAUUGGCAUAUAUAUAAAAGCUAUUAAACUAUGUUAAUAUAGUUUGUAACACAUGGUGUACUUCAAUUUUUGUAGGCCCAUAUCCUUGUGUAUUUACGCAUAACAUUGUCCAUGAAUAAAAGGUAAGUGAGUUUAAUAUCAAAAUCUACAUGGUAUCAGAGCAUAAUUUAUGAAACCUAAUUUUUUUUUAAAAAAUUGGUAUUAUAUCUUCGAAGUUCCAAAAUUUUAUUUUUUACGUCUGGUUAUUUCAGUGAGAUAUAACAACAAUGACUGGUGGAGUGGAUUCAUCAGUUUUCAAAAGUUUGAUCCCAGAUCGAAACAGUGAUGAGGUUGUAUGGUUCGGACAACCCUGGUGCUUUAAUCACUUCGGUUAUGUUAACCGGAGAAAAUUAUAACGAAUGGUCAAUUGAGUUACUCAAUGCUUUCCAAGCCAAAUAGGUUUAUCAACCGUACGUUGAAGAAACCGGCGAAUUCAAGUCCUGAUCUCGAAAAAUGGCUUGCGGUGAAUUCGAUGCUUGUUGGUUGGAUUCGUACUUCGAUCGAACCUAGGGUAAGAAGCAUAGUGACCUACAUCUCUGACGCUUGUUUGCUUUGGGAGACUUUGAAAUAGAGGUUUUAGGUGGGCAACGAGGUUCGCGUCCAUCAAUUGAAGGCUCAACUUGCGUCGUGGAGGCAAGAAGGACAACCUGUGUUGGAUUACUUUGGUCGUCUCUCCAAUUUGUGGGAAGAAUUGCAGGUGUAUCGUCCGGUUCAUGUCUGUACUUGUGGUGCUGCUGCGGCAAUCGCAAAAGAUCAAGAGAAAGAGAAGAUCCAUCAAUUUGUGAUGGGUCUUGAUGAUGCGAGAUUUGGUAGGAUUUGUACAACCAUAAUUGGUAUGGAUCAUCUCCCUUCACUUGGAGAAAUUUACAAUAAAAUCGUUCGUGAAGAACAGAGAAUUGCCUCUGCGCGUGGACGUGAGCAACAACAAGAUGUUGUGAUAGUCAAAGCAGAUAAUCAAAGCAGAGUUGAGAAUUUAAUCCUUCGAUCACACAUUCUAUGUUCUCAUUGUGGAAGAUCAGGUCACGAGAAACGUGACUGUUGGCAGAUCGUUGGAUUCCGGGAGUGGUACACCGAACGCUCUGGAAGAGGUGGUCGCGGUUCAAACAACAAUGCGGGUCAUGGUCGUGGUCAAGUUAGUGCAGCUCAUGCCACGAGCUCUAACUAGUCUUUGUUUCCUGAGCUUACUUCUGAGCAAUGGAAAGUUUUAACUCAGAUGAUUCAAGAAAAAGCUGGUUCAUCUAAUGUGUCUGAUAAGUUAUCAGGUAAGAAUGAUCUCGGUGAUGUCAUUCUUGAUACAGGUGCUUCCCAUCACAUGACGGGAAACCUGUCUUUGUUGACCAAUGUUGGUAUCAUCUCGCCGUGUUUGGUGGGAUUCGCUGAUGGAAAUAAGACUUUUGCCAUCAGCAUGGGCUCUUUGUAUCUCUCAGCCCAAAUUACCUUGACGAACGUUCUUUACGUCCCAGAUUUGAAUUGCACCCUUAUCUCGUUUGCAAAGUUGUUAAAACAAACAAAUUGUUUUACACUAAUGUCUGAUACGAUUUGUGUUUUACAGGACCGUUCUUCGAGGACCCUGAUUGGAGCCGUUGAAGAGUGUGAUGGUGUGUAUUACUUUAUGGAUAUUGUCUCAACAAAGAGUCAUCGAGCAGUUGUGAUCUGCUCAAAGUUUAAUCCCUAAACUACUCUGCAAGAGCACAGAUGUGCAGUUGUAGUAUCUAGGGGUCGAACCACAGAGACAAGAGAUCACUCAAUAAACCUUAUGUAGAUGGAGUUACGCUAAGCCAAAAUAUGCGAAACAAAUAGCAAUGCGACAGAGAUAAAUAAAACAGCAAGGAAAAUGGUUUGUAAGUUCGAUGUGGUAAGGAUUAGGUCUAGGGCGUUUUCAGGAGAUCAAUGAAUGCAGAUCAACUUAACAAGUCAGGGUUCAGAUAUUAAGCACGGUUCUUGAACUCGAAACACAGAACUAUAAUUAACCAACUUCCGUUGUGAGAAUUAUCUAAGUUAAAAUCCUAGAAUUCCAAAUUCCUUUGCAAAUCCUACAGAUUUAAACCAGCCUUAAUUGCACAAGUUCGAUAUGUUCACAAAGCUCCUAAACCAAAUUCCUUUGCGAAUAGUUACUUUGCUCAACUCAGGUUCUUUCCAGUUAUUCAAUUACACUUCCGUGUCAAUCAAGCAACCUAAGACCUAAGUUCUAGGUGAUCAGUCUAGAAUUUGCUUUAAGAACAACCUAAGGUGAAGAACAAAUAGAUAUGAACCCUAGCUAGCAAGUUAAUCAAACAUUCAAAGAAAACCCUAAUUAACCCUAAACCUAACAGGUGAUCUACUCAGACAUGGUUAUUGAAACAACAAACAUGAUGAAUAGAAAGCAAUAGAUUAAAUCGAAAUAGAUAAAGGGGUUCGAAAUCUUCUCUCUAAACGAACAGAGUUCAGACUUGUCUCCCCAAGCUCAGAAAUCGCAAAAGCCGAAAACUCAGAGUAUCUCUCUCUCAAAAAUCUCCGGUUCUCGUAAAAAGGGAAUAAAAAUCCUAUAUAUAUCUCUAAGACACGUCUUGGGCUUCCUUGAAAACGUUUGGGCCCAACUCCUUCUUCAAAUAGGAAACAAAAUCGCCUUUUCCUUAUUUCUCUGACAAGUGUCGAGCGUCACUCUCCAUGGUGUCGAGCGUCACUAAAGCACAAAAUCCAUUCUUGACGAAUUUGAUCCUGAUUAAGCUCCAAAGUGCUCCAAAGUCUCCAGCUAAGCUCCAAACGUACCUAUGACCUGAAAAGACUCCAAAAGACUCGAAAGACACUAAAAAGACUCUAUAAAUAAGACAUAUACCAUGGUUAAAAACCAUAAAAACCAUGAUAUAUCAAGUUGGUACUUCAGAUCAAGCUUUGUGGCAUCAGCGUUUGGGACAUCCAUCUUUUUCAGUAUUUUUGGAUUUUGUGUCGCUUUCUACCUCUUCAAAAACGCCUAGCUCUAGUUCUUGUGACAUUUGUUUUAGAGCUAAGCAAACUCGGGAAAGUUUUUAUGAUAGUUUGAAUACAACAAAGGAAUGUUUUUCCCUUAUUCAUGUUGACGUUUGGGGACCGUAUCGAGUUCCUUCUUCUUGUGGUGCGGUGUAUUUUUUAACAAUUGUAGACGAUUUCUCACGUGUUGUGUGGAUGUUUCUUUUGCUUGAAAAUCAGAAGUCCAAAAUGUUUUGAAGAGGUUUCUUGUUUAUACCGAAAUACAAUUUAACAAACAAGUUAAAAUUGUUCGAAGCGAUAAUGGUACUGAAUUCAUGGUGCUUGCGUCUUUCUUCAAAGAUAAUGGGAUUGUUCACCAAACGUCUUGUGUUGCAACACCACAGCAAAAUGGAAAGGUUGAACGCAAACACAGACAUAUACUUAAUGUUUCACGGGAAAUUAUGUUCCAAGCGAAUCUUCCUAUCAAGUUUUGGGGAGAGGCUGUGUUAACCGCUGCGUACUUGAUCAAUCGAACGCCCACAUCUAUUCACCAUGGGUGUUCCCUAUAUGAAGUCCUCCACAGUGUGAAACCUGACUACAAACAAUUGUACGUGCAUUUUGUUAUGUUCAUCGGCAAGCUCGUGACAAAGAUAAAUUUGGUCACCGGAGUCGUUUGUGUGUGUUUGUUGGUUACCCGUUUGGUAAGAAAGGAUGGAAGGUUUAUGAUAUUGAACGAGAUGAGUUUCUGAUUUCACGUGAUGUCAUUUUUUGGGAGGACGUGUUUCCUUUUGCUGACCAACAGAUUGUGAAGCUAGUUUCGACUCCAGAGGUUAUGAAUAAUAAUGAUGAUUGGUGUGUUACGCCUGAAGUAAGAGGGAGCAUUGAUUCUGAUUUAUCUCCGCCGUCUCCUCUGCCUAAUGAAAUGGUGGAGACAAUGUCUUCUCCUGAGGGAAUUCUCUCGUGCUCCGCUGCAAAAUACAACUUUAGACUCUACACCUCCAAGUGUGGAUGAGACAGUUGUCGAAUCCGUUACUGCUUUGGCACCAGUUCAUGAGCCCGUGACAGUACAACAAACUCCGAUUCCUACCGAAGUUCUUGGUAGAGGCCUUCGUGAAAAGACCAAAUAUGUGCGUUUGAAAGAUUGCUUCCUUUACAAUGCAACGAAUAAUGCACAUCACGCUCUUCCCAACUCUAUGUCCUCGUCGACGGUCCAAGGUACUUCACUAUAUCUUUUAUCUGAUUUUGUGACAGAUGCUCAGUUUUCUCCAGGUCAUCGCGCUUACUUAGCUUCCAUUACAUCUGCGGUCGAACCUAAACAUUUUAAAGCAGCUGUCCGGAUCAAGGUUUGGGAUAACGCGAUGGAUACGGAAGUGGUCGCUCUUGAAGGCCAACACACAUGGGAUGUUGUUGAUCUACCUUCAGGUAAAGAAGCUAUUGGAAGCCAAUGGGUUUAUAAGAUUAAAUACAAUGUCGAUGGUUCUAUUGAACGGUAUAAAGCGCGUCUUGUUGUACAAGGCAAUAACCAGAUCGAGGGAGAAGAUUAGAAAGAAACAUUUGCUCCUGUGGUUAAAAUGACCACGGUUCGCACCUUAAUGCGUCUAGUUGCCGCAAAACAAUGGGAAGUUUAUCAGAUGGACGUCAAUAAUGCUUUUCUUCAUGGUGAUCUUGAGGAGGAAGUUUAUAUGAAGCUUCUACCAGGCUUUCAUCACACUCACCCCGACAAAGUUUGUCGUCUUCGUAAGUCUCUCUAUGGUCUUAAACAAGCUCCACGCUAUUGGUUUAAGAAGCUCUCUGACUCAUUGCUACGCUUUGGUUUUGUCCAAUCCUACGAUGAUUACUCGCUGUUCUCGUAUUCGCGCAAGGGUAUUGAGCUUCGCGUCUUAGUAUAUGUUGAUGAUCUUCUUAUCUGCGGGAAUGACAUGCAUAUGCUUAAAAAGUUUAAAGAAUACUUAGGCAAAUGUUUUGCGAUGAGAGACUUAGGUCGGUUGAAAUACUCUCAUGGUAUUGAGGUGAGCCGAGGACGUGAAGGAAUUUUUUAUCUCAACGCAAGUACGCGUUAGAUAUCAUCGCGGAUACAGGAAACUUGGGUUGCAAAUCUGCUCCAACACCACUUGAGCAGAAUCAUAAUCUUGCAAAGGCAACAGGUCCGGUUCUUGAAGAUCCCAAGAAGUAUCGUCGUCUUGUUGGACGCCUUAUUUAUUUGUUGAACACUCGUCCUGAGUUAAGUUAUGCUGUUCAUAUCUUGUCCGAGUUCAUGCAAGCACCCAAAGAGGCUCAUUGGUUAGCGGCAUUGCGUGUUGUUCGUUUCUUAAAGGGGAUGCCAGGCCAAGGUAUUAUGCUAAAGUCCGACUCUGAUCUUACUCUUACGGUCUAUUGCAAUUUCGACUGGUCAUCGUGUCCUUUGACGCGUCGAUCUCUUAGUGCUUUUAUUAUUAUGCUUGGAGGUUCUCCAAUAUCUUGGAAGACAAAGAUGCAAAAGACAGUUUCUCAUUCAUCAGCUGAAGCAGAGUAUCGAGCUAUGGCAACAGCUCUUCCUGAGAUCAAGUGGGUUCGUCGAUUGGUGCAAGGUUUAGGUGUGGAUAAGUCUGUGCUGAUUCAUUUUUUUCUGCGACAGCAAAGCUGCAAUAAGCAUCGCUGCGAAUCCAGUCUUUCAUGAACGCACCAAGCACAUCGAAAAUGAUUGUCAUGCGGAGCGUGAUGCAGUUCAAGAGGGUAUUAUUGCUACUCAACACAUUACUACUGACUCACAAAUUGCAGACAUUUUGACUAAAGCUUUCGGACGUGCUCCGUUUACUACUUUAGCGUCCAAGUUGGGCGUUCAAAAUCUCCACGCUCCAACUUGAGGGGGAGUAUUGGCAUAUAUAUAAAAGCUAUUAAACUAUGUUAAUAUAGUUUAUCCCACAUCGUGUACUUGAGUUUUUGUAACCUGAUAUCCUUGUGUAUUUAAGCACAACAUUAUGCAUGAAUAAAAGGCAAGUGAGUUUAAUAUCAAAAUCUACAGUUAAGAUUGUUUACAAAGUCCUGAUUUUGUUUUCAUGAUCAGCUUUAUAUAAUUAUAUAUAUAUAUAUAUACUGUAUUAAUUAUAGAAUAUUUAGAUUUAAAAUUAAAUGGGAAUCUGCGUAACUAUAAUCCAUGUUAUUUAUUAUAUUAAAACAGAAUCACUUUUAGUAUUUGUUUCCAAACACUCCCAAAGUUUUUUUUAAAAUAUUAUAUAUAUAUAUAUUUAAUUCUAAAAGUUAGAUAUUAAUUUAGAUAACUAAAUUUUUUUAAAAUAUAGGUUAUAUCUAUAGUCUAUAGAUAUUAAUUUAAAUAUACUUCCUUAAAUAUAUGUUAGAUUUAAUUUAACAUGUGAAAUUUAAAUAAGAUUUUCAGAAUAACACAUAUGAUUAACAAAUAUUUUAUAAUUUUUUUAAUCAUAUUCUAUCAGAUUAAAAUUUCACAUAUUAAAAAUAGAUAAAUAUUAAUAUUAUAUAAUAAUUUGAUGGGACAAGUUAAGUUUUUUUUUUAUAAUUAUGGUCUUAUACAGGUUAGGUUAUCAAAGCAAUAUUAGGAGAAAAUUAUUUCAAAAUUAGUAAAUAUUUAUAUUAUAAAGAAAUAUAAAUGGACGGGUUAGAAUUAUGGUUUCAUAAUCAUGAUCUUUUUCGAAUUAAUAAAAUGAGCGAGUUAGAAAUAUAUUUUUAUAAUAACGAUCAUUUUUUGAUUAAUAAAAUCACCGGAUUAAAAAUUAUAUUUUUUUAUUAUGGUGGUCAUAAUAAUACUGAAAAGAUAUAAAAAAAAUUAUAUUUAAACACAAAUUUUUUUAUAUCACUUAUUAAAAAAUUAUAUUUAUAAAGAAAACAUAAAUUAGAUUACAAAUUUUGAUUAAAACAAAAUUCCUGUUUAAAUACACGGAAUAAAAUCUAGUUAAAUUUAAAUUAAAACUCUUAUUUAGUUAUCCAGAACAACUAGAGGGUUUUUGACGUCUACUGACGCCAAAAUUACAGAAUGUCCUUUCGAGUUGACUUAGUCAACCAUUUUGUGGUUCUAUCUUCUAAAAGAUAAGGACAACAAGAGACUUUUCGACCGAAAAACCACUCGUGUCAUUUUCUCUCAAUUAAUCUUAUUUAAUACAUUAAUGACAGACUGACUUAGUCCUUUUGAGAAGUGGCUCAUAUAAUCAGAAUUAAACUCAUAUGCAUAGCUUGCUAUCUUAAAAAAAAAAGAUCGCUCCUUCGCACAGUAAGGAAAAAAUGGAGAUACAUUGUGUGUUCAUUGCCACUUUUAUGCUGAUACUUCAUCUUGUUCAAGCUCAAGAUCCAACCGGUACGUACAAAAUUGUUUUUUUUUUUUUGCUAAAAUGUACAAAAUUUGUUGUUUUAAUUUAUUCAUGUGUGUUCUUCAACGGUUUCUUAGAUUAUGAGAUGUGUAUAUAUUUUCCAUCUAUUAUUCAUUAGGAUUCAUCAACGUGGAUUGCGGUUUACCCCCUCGUGAGUCUCCUUACAACGCACUCCCAACCGGUUUAGAAUAUACAUCAGAUGCCGGUUUAGUUAACAGUGGGAGACUCAGUAGAAUCGCCAAGGGAUUUGAACCGGACUACACUAAGCCAAAUCUGACAUUGAGAUACUUUCCCGACGGAGUACGAAACUGCUACAAUUUCAACGUGACCCGUGACACCAACUAUCUGAUCAAGGCCACGUUCGUAUAUGGAAACUACGAUGGUCUUAAUGUAGAUCCGAACUUCGAUCUUUACUUGGGUCCGAAUUUAUGGACAACGGUAAGCAGUAGUGAAACUGUUGAGGAGAUCAUUCAUUUGACGAAAUCCAAUUCGUUACAGGUCUGCCUUGUUAAGAAGGAAACAACUAUACCUUUUAUUAAUAUCUUGGAGCUACGACCAUUGAGGAAAAAUAUGUACUUUAUUCAAAGCGGCUCACUCAAGUUCUUAUUCAGGGCGUAUUUUAGUGACUCAGGUCGUACUAUACGGUAAUAUUUAUUCAAAAUUAUCUUGUAAAAGUUAAAAUUUAUCUUUUAAUACUAGAUUAGAUUCUGCGUGCAGACAAAUUAUAAAUAUUUAGAUUUUAAAUUGACAACUAGUAUAAUUAGAAUUAAAUUAAAAUUCUUGUUUUGUUAUCCAGAAACUAUAUUUUAAUUCGUAAUUAUAUUUUUUAAAUUAAUCCAUAUCACCCAUAAAUAAUUCUCUUAAAUGAAUGAGUGGGUUUGAAAAAUAAAAUUUUAAAUCUUAUACAACUUAAUAAAAUGAAUAUAUAUAUAUAUACUUUAGAAACAUAGUAUCUUCUGAAUUUAUUGUUCUAACAUGUUAGAAAAAUUAUGUUUUAAUAUAAUAAUCCAGAUUAAAAGUUUACACCUCUGAAUUGCUGUCAUAAAAGAAUUAGCGAGAAUUGUUCUUAUAUAAUUUUAGUAGUUUACAUUUUAUCAAUAUAUUUUUUUUUUCUCGUUCUUUACAUUUUUUGAUUUUACUAGUUUUCAUUCUUUUCAAAACACAAUUUCUUUUUCAUUUCUUAUUUAAAAAUAAAUAACUAUUAAUAACAUUGACAUAUAUCACAAUUUAAACACUCCAACUUUAUAUAAUAAGAGAUAUUAGUGUGUUUUCUUUCAAAUGAGAACUUCAAUCUUUAUUUUUUAAUAUUGAAAUUCUUUUAUUAUUCUGAAACGCAAAAAGAAAAAAAAAACACACACACAGAGACACAAAAACAGUAGAAAAAUAUUAUAUUAGUAAUAUGGUCCAAAACAAAUUGUGCCAGGUAUCCGGAUGAUAUCUAUGAUCGUGAAUGGAAUACACUCUUCCUUGAGAAAUCAUGGGCACAAGUAACGACGACUCUGAAUGUAAAUGCUACUAGUGAAUAUGAAUUACCGCAAGCUGUAAUGUCAACGGGCGCAACACCUCUAAACGAUAAAGAGACAUUGAACGUUACAUGGACCGUAAAGUCUCCUACUACAAUGCUUUACACCUACGUGCACUUUACAGAGCUUCAGACUCUAAGGGCCAAUGAUACGAGGGAAUUUAGUGUGACGCUGAAUGAAAAAAAUUCAUAUGGACCUUACAGUCCUAUACCGCUAAAGACCAAAACCGAACUCGUCAAAAUGCCUGAUCAAUGCGAUGGAGGGACAUGUCUUUUGCAGCUUUUGAAGACGUCGAAAUCAACUCUUCCGCCUCUACUUAAUGCUAUCGAGGCUUACGCGGUGAUUGAUUUCCCGCAAAUGGACACAAAUGAAGAUGACGGUAUGUUGAUUUGACAUUCUUGAUCUUAUCUACAAGAUAAAUGUUUUACGUGCUUGAUAUCAUCAAGCUUUACAAUCGUAGUUGCUGGUAUCAAGAAUGUUCAAGAUGCUUAUGGAUUGAGUAAAAUCUCUUGGCAAGGAGAUCCAUGUGUCUCCAAACAGUUUUUGUGGGAGGGUCUAAACUGCAUUAACUCGGAUAUGUCUAGUCCACCAACAAUCACUUACUUGUAAGAUAAAUCAUUCAGUAAUUUUUCUUUAUUUGUUAAAUCAUACCAAUUUUGAACUAGAUAUCUCACAGUUUUUUUGCUUCAGAGACUUAUCUGCUAGUGGAUUAAGCGGAAUCAUCACGCAUGCCAUUCAAAAUCUUACUCACCUGGAAAUAUUGUAAGUAUAUCUCCACGGCUGACAUAGCCGAAAAUUGUUUAACCAUUGGAAAUGAAUAAUGUUUGAUGAAUUAGUUCACCUUUGUUAAUGGUAGGGACUUGUCAAAUAACAAUUUGACUGGAGAAGUACCUGAAUUUCUAGCUGAUAUAAAAUCACUCCAUGUCAUGUAAGUUUUCAUGAGACACUAGAAUAUUGUUUACUCUUGGCAUUUUCCUGAACAUGUUUGUUUAUGUUUUAACUAUUUGUCUACUCCAACAGAGUCUUAAGUGGUAAUAAUCUCAGCGGCUCGGUUCCUCCCUCACUUCUUCAGAAGAAAGGAUUGAUGCUACAGUAAGCUAUAUUUUCUUUCUUUCCGAUCCAUUUGUUCUCACGCCAAUUGAUGUAUUUGGUAUCUUUAACAACACUCACAUUCUGCAGUGUCGACAACAAUCCCAAUCUUCUUUGCACAACUCGUUCAUGUGUGAAAAAAGGACAUACGAAAAAGAGUAUCAUUGUACCAGUGGUUGCAUCAAUUGCUUCAUUAGCUGUUCUUAUAGGUGCAUUCGUCCUGUUCAUUGUUCUCAGAAAGAAAAAGGCAUCAAAAGUUGAAGGUAUUAAUAAAUAAGCUCAAGAGUAAUAUCAAAACAUGAAUACUCAUCAAAUUAACUUAACCAAAUUUGGCCUUGUAACCUUAGGGCCACAAACAUCGUAUAUGCAAGCAUCAAAUGGUAGACCAUCUCAACCGGCAAUAAUGACAAAGAAUAGAAGGUUUAAUUACUCAGAAGUUGUGACGAUGACAAAUAACUUUCAAAGAGUCCUUGGUAAAGGAGGAUUUGGAAUCGUUUACCAUGGUUUUGUGAACGGUACAGAACAAGUAGCUGUUAAGAAGCUCUCCCAUUCCUCAUCUCAAGGAUAUAAACAAUUUAAAGCUGAGGUAAAUUCUCACAUUCGCACUAUCUCGAACGAAAACAUCAAUGAUUCAAUUAUUUUUAGAAACUUGAAAUUGUGUUUUCUGGCUUGGUGUUUAGGUAGAACUUCUUCUUAGAAUUCAUCACAAGAAUUUGGUCUGUCUUGUUGGGUAUUGCGACGAGGGACAGAACUUGGCUCUUAUCUAUGAAUACAUGGCCAAUGGAGACUUGAAAGAACAUAUAUCAGGUAAGCAGACAAACAUGACGCGGCUGUAUUGUUGUAGUUUUAUCUUGAUAUCAUAAGAGUUUGACAUCUGUGUCUCCAUUUAUAACAUAGGGACACGUAACAGAUUUAUUUUAAACUGGGGAACUAGACUAAAAAUAGUCAUCGAGUCUGCGCAAGGUCUGUGUAUAGAUUAUCCCUGUUAUUUUUCUUAUAUUCUUAUUCUUUGCUUUUCAUUUGAUUGAACAUGUUGGAUUUUUUGGCAUAGGACUUGAGUAUUUGCAUAAUGGUUGCAAACCACCAAUGGUUCAUAGAGACGUCAAAACCACAAAUAUAUUGCUGAAUGAACACUUUGAGGCCAAACUUGCUGAUUUUGGGCUUUCGAGGUCAUUUCCGAUUGGUGAAACUCAUGUGUCAACAGUUGUUGCUGGAACUCCAGGAUAUCUCGAUCCCGAGUAAGUAUAAAUGAUUUUGAAAUAUUUUCUAUUUUCUAUAUUGAGAAAGAAAAUUGAUAAAAUCUAUCCUCUAAUUCAUUUUUUCCAGAUACUACAGAACAAAUUGGUUGACAGAGAAGAGUGAUGUCUAUAGUUUCGGGAUUGUAUUGUUGGAGAUCAUCACAAACCGAAGCGUGAUAGACCAAACCCGUGAAAAGCCACAUAUAGCAGAAUGGGUGGGGUUAAUGCUUACGAAAGGAGACAUCACAAGCAUUAUGGAUCCAAGUCUAAAUGGAGACUAUAUGAUUCUGGUUCUGUUUGGAAAGUUGUUGAACUAGCAAUGUCUUGUCUAAAUCCUUCUUCAACGAGAAGACCUACCAUGUCUCAAGUUGUUAUUGCAUUAAACGAUUGCCUAGCAUCUGAAAAUUCAAGGGCAGGAGCGAGUAGGGACAUG
rnacentral:lncRNA from 1 species